rnacentral:rRNA from 1 species
CCUACGGGUGGCUGCAGUGGGGAAUAUUGGACAAUGGGGGGAACCCCGAUCCAGCCAUGCCGCGUGUGUGAAGAAGGCCCUCGGGUUGUAAAGCACUUUCAGUGAGGAAGAACGCCUGGUGGUUAAUACCCAUCAGGAAAGACAUCACUCACAGAAGAAGCACCGGCUAACUCCGUGCCAGCAGCCGCGGUAAUACGGAGGGUGCGAGCGUUAAUCGGAAUUACUGGGCGUAAAGCGCGCGUAGGUGGCUUGAUAAGCCGGUUUGUGAAAGCCCCGGGCUCAACCUGGGAACGGCAUCCGGAACUGUCAAGCUAGAGUGCAGGAGAGGAAGGUAGAAUUCCCGGUGUAGCGGUGAAAUGCGUAGAGAUCGGGAGGAAUACCAGUGGCGAAGGCGGCCUUCUGGACUGACACUGACACUGAGGUGCGAAAGCGUGGGUAGCAAACAGGAUUAGAUACCCCAGUAGUC